rnacentral:rRNA from 1 species
GUCGUAACAAGGUUUCCGUAGGUGAACCUGCGGAAGGAUCAUUACCACACACGAUCCAAACGAUCCACACUUGCGAACCGUGAUAUUGGACUGUUUUGCGUCGCCCUCUGGGCGCGCUGCAACCCAUACACUUUUCCUUUUAACAAACCCUUACAACCAUUAAACAGUUUCGAACUCUGCGCGUAACAACGCAGUAAAAUCUUAACUAUUCACAACUCACAGCAACGGAUAUCUUGGCUCGCACAACGAUGAAGAACGCAGCGAAAUGCGAUACGUAAUGCGAAUUGCAGAAUUCAAUGAAUCAUCAAAUCUUUGAACGCACAUUGCGCUUCCGGGUACUCCUGGUAGCAUGCUUGUUUCAGUGUCCGUAACCACCACUCAACCCUAUCGUUUGCUUCUGGCGAACGGUGGGAGAUUGGACUAUGGGCGUCCGACUGCUAGCCAGUCAGUUGCUUUAAGUGUAGAGGUGGUCCUUUGUCCGCCGACCCAGUGUGGUAGUGCCUCACGGCAAAACGCCCCUGUGUCGGUGGAGCCAGGCCGCUCGCCUAUCUACUCGUCUCAACUUCGGAUCUGAAAUCAAGUAAGAGGACCCCCUGGAUUUAAGCAUAUAACUAAGGGGAGGAAAAGAAACUAACUAGGAUUCCCUCAGUAACGGCGAGUGAAGCGGGAUGAGCUCAACUUGAAAAUCUGCACUCAAAACAUAGUGCCGAAUUGUAGUCUAUAGGCGUUGCCAUCCGACUUGUGUUGCGAUGUAAAUCCGUUGGAACACGGUAUCAGAGAGGGUGAGAAUCCCGUCUUUCAUUGCGUGCCGAGUCGUCCGUGAUGCGCGUCCACAGAGUCGAGUUGCUUGGGAACGCAGCUCUAAUUUGGUGGUAAAUUCCAUCUAAAGCUAAAUAUUGGUGCGAGACCGAUAGCGAACAAGUACCGUGAGGGAAAGAUGAAAAGAACUUUGAAAAGAGAGUUAAAAAGUACUUGAAAUUGCUGUGAGGGAACCGAUUGCGGCCAGUGGUACCUUUGUGCUCCCUGCCAUUCGUGCUUGCGCGUUUGGCACUGAGCAUGCUGGUUCGUCAGCUUCAACAUUCUAUGCGUCAGAUGCCUUUGAGGAGGCCUUUCGGGGGUCCUCUUGGGAGCGUCGCGUGGGUUGUUGAGGAUACUUAUCUCGCUUCGUGCUCCCCACCCCGGAUCUGGUUGUAGUUCGUCUUUGAGACAACAUGUUGUGUUGAUGAUGACUGCUCCACUUGCGGGUAGUGGGUGAUGAGAUGACAGGAAGUUGACAAAAUGGCCGUAAUUGACCCGUCUUGAAACACGGACCAAGGAGUCUAACAUAUGUGCGAGUAUUUGGGUGACAAACCCACAUGCGCAAUGAAGGUAAAAGGUCAGAAACCGCGAGGUGGCAUGAUCGACCGACCAUGAUCCUCUGGUGAAAGGUUUGAGUUAGAGCAUAGAUGUUGGGACCCGAAAGAUGGUGAACUAUGCGUGA